AAGUGGGGUUGUAAUUCAAUCCAUUGUGUGUUGGAGGUUGGGCUUGGGGCCCGAUAAAAAGGAGGUUGCAUAAUAAGUCCCACAUUGGAAAACCCCUCUUUACAUGAAAGCUUUAUAUAUGGUCGUUCAACAGCAAAGGUUGUCCCUUCGGGGACAUCCGAUAAAAUUGGAACGAUACAGAGAAGAUUAGCAUGGCCCCUGCGCAAGGAUGACACGCAUAAAUCGAGAAAUGGUCCAAAUUUUUUUUGCCCUUUCUGAUAUAUUUUUUCCUGCCUUCUCCAUGCUGCUCAUUGCAGUUGCAGAGGGUUUAUAAGCUACCGGAACUAGAAGCAUUUGCAUUUAUAGGCUUUGACGGUUCGUCGGCUCAAUCAUUGAUCUUCCAGGUGUUACCUUGUCAUCACCAAAUUUGGCCCACAAGCGUGCAGCGGCUCUCUGAAGAGGAUCUUCAGGCAGCAAGGGAUUUUCCUUCCAAGUUUCAUCAAUGUAUUCAAGAACUACAAAAGACUCAACAAUUGGUUUUCCAUUGUGCACAAGCACUGGAACCUUUUUAUGAAUAGGGUUAUACUGAAGAAGCUAAGGGCUUUUGUUUGAAAGAUCUUCGUAGAUUGUUUCAUAUGGGACACCUUUGAGUUUCAGUGCCCAAAUUAUUCUCAAAGCAAAAGGACUUGACCAUGUCCUAAAGAGCUUCACUUCUGCCAUUUUUGCUGUUAAUUUGAGCUAUGAUCUGCUAGCAUUUUAUGCUUAACUUUCGCCUUGGAAUUUUGCCAAGGUGUCCUAAGCUUUCUUGUAUUUCUUUAUGAAACCUUCUAUAUUGGUAAGUAUGACUUGGUCCCUAGAAA